rnacentral:rRNA from 1 species
UGGGGAAUUUUGGACAAUGGGCGAAAGCCUGAUCCAGCAAUGCCGCGUGUGUGAAGAAGGCCUUCGGGUUGUAAAGCACUUUUGUCCGGAAAGAAAUCCUUGGCUCUAAUACAGUCGGGGGAUGACGGUACCGGAAGAAUAAGCACCGGCUAACUACGUGCCAGCAGCCGCGGUAAUACGUAGGGUGCAAGCGUUAAUCGGAAUUACUGGGCGUAAAGCGUGCGCAGGCGGUUUGCUAAGACCGAUGUGAAAUCCCCGGGCUCAACCUGGGAACUGCAUUGGUGACUGGCAGGCUAGAGUAUGGCAGAGGGGGGUAGAAUUCCACGUGUAGCAGUGAAAUGCGUAGAGAUGUGGAGGAAUACCGAUGGCGAAGGCAGCCCCCUGGGCCAAUACUGACGCUCAUGCACGAAAGCGUGGGGAGCAAAACAGGAUUAGAUACCCUGGUAGUCCACGCCCUAAAACGAUGUCAACUAGUUGUUGGGGAUUCAUUUCCUUAGUAACGUAGCUAACGUGUGAAGUUGACCGCCUGGGGAGUACGGUCGCAAGAUUAAAACUCAAAUGAAUUGACGGGGUCAUAGCUGUUUCCU